rnacentral:rRNA from 1 species
AUGGAAUUUUAAUUGACUGAGUGGCGGACGGGUGAGUAACGCGUGGGUAACCUGCCUCAUACAGGGGGAUAACAGUUAGAAAUGACUGCUAAUACCGCAUAAGCGCACAGGAUUGCAUGAUCCCGUGUGAAAAACUCCGGUGGUAUGAGAUGGACCCGCGUCUGAUUAGCUGGUUGGUGGGGUAACGGCCUACCAAGGCGACGAUCAGUAGCCGACCUGAGAGGGUGACCGGCCACAUUGGGACUGAGACACGGCCCAAACUCCUACGGGAGGCAGCAGUGGGGAAUAUUGCACAAUGGGGGAAACCCUGAUGCAGCAACGCCGCGUGAGUGAAGAAGUAUUUCGGUAUGUAAAGCUCUAUCAGCAGGGAAGAAAAUGACGGUACCUGAGUAAGAAGCCCCGGCUAACUACGUGCCAGCAGCCGCGGUAAUACGUAGGGGGCAAGCGUUAUCCGGAUUUACUGGGUGUAAAGGGAGCGUAGACGGCGAUGCAAGUCUGAAGUGAAAGCCCGGGGCUCAACCCCGGGACUGCUUUGGAAACUGUAUGGCUGGAGUGCUGGAGAGGCAAGCGGAAUUCCUAGUGUAGCGGUGAAAUGCGUAGAUAUUAGGAAGAACACCAGUGGCGAAGGCGGCUUGCUGGACAGUAACUGACGU